GGCCUGAUGGUCUAGUAGCAUGAUUCUUCCUUUGGGUUGCAUUUCCUUUGCGUUCACUGGAAGAGGUCCUGGGUUCAAUUCCCAGUCAGGCCC